rnacentral:rRNA from 1 species
UUGUGGUUAAAAAGCUCGUAGUUGGAUCUCAACAGCCUUGNAAGCGGUUAACUUUGUAGUUUUACUGCUUUAUAGGCUGUGCUUUUGCUGGAGGUUUAGGGGUGCUCUUGAUCGAGUGUCUCUGGAUGCCAGCAGGUUUACUUUGAAAAAAUUAGAGUGCUCAAAGCAGGCUAAAAUGCCUGAAUAUUCGUGCAUGGAAUAAUAGAAUAGGAUGUCGAUCCUAUUUUGUUGGUUUUCGGGACUCGACAUAAUGAUAAAUAGGGACAGUCGGGGGCAUUUGUAUUCAAACGACAGAGGUGAAAUUCUUGGACCGUUUGAAGACAAACUACUGCGAAAGCAUUUGCCAAGAAUGUUUUCAUUAAUCAAGAACGAAAGUUAGAGGUUCGAAGGCGAUUAGAUACCGCCCUAGUUCUAACCAUAAACGAUGCCAGCUAGCGAUCUGCCUGCGUUUUUACUGUAGACUGGGCAGGAAGCUUCCGGGAAACCAAAGCAUUUGGGUUCCAGGGGAAGUAUGGUUGCAAAGCUGAAACUUAAAGGAAUUGACGGAAGGCACCACCAGAGUGGAGC